rnacentral:rRNA from 1 species
UACGUAGGGGGCUAGCGUUGUCCGGAUUUAUUGGGCGUAAAGAGCGUGUAGGCGGCCAGGUAGGUCUGCUGUGAAAACUCGGGGCUCAACUCCGAGCCUGCGUUCGAUACUGGAUGGCUAGAGUCUGGUAGGGGGAUCUGGAAUUCCUGGGUGUAGCGGUGGAAUGCGCAGAUAUCAGGAGGAACACCGGUGGCGAAGGCGGGAUCCUGGGCCAGUACUGACGGCUGAGGAGCGAAAGCGUGGGGAGCAAACAGG